rnacentral:rRNA from 1 species
GAUGAACGCUAGCUACAGGCUUAACACAUGCAAGUCGAGGGACCGGCGCACGGGUGAGUAACACGUAUCCAACCUGCCCUUUACUCGGGGAUAGCCUUUCGAAAGAAAGAUUAAUACCCGAUAUAAAGGAUGGGGAUGCGUUCCAUUAGGUUGUGGGGUAGGUAACGGCUGACCAAGCCUUCGAUGGAUAGGGGUUCUGAGAGGAAGGUCACCCACAUUGGAACUGCGAAACGGGCCAAACUCCUACGGGAGGCAACAGUGAGGAAUAUUGGUCAAUGAGCGCUAGCCUGAACCAGCCAAGUAGCGUGAAGGAUGAAGGCUUAUGGGUCGUUAACUUCUUUUAUAUAAGAAUAUGUAUUAUAUGAAUCAGGAUCGGCUAACUCCGUGCCAGCAGCCGCGGUAAUUC